rnacentral:rRNA from 1 species
UUAAAUGGCCGCAGUAUUUUAACUGUGCUAAGGUAGCAUAAUCAUUAGUUUUUUAAUUGAGAACUGGAAUGAAAGGUUGGAUGAAAAAAAAUCUGUCUCUAUUGGAUAUUGUAGAACUUUAUUUUUUAGUUAAAAAGCUAAAAUAUUUUUAAAAGACGAGAAGACCCUAUAGAAUUUUAUAUUAAUAUUAAUUAAUAUUUUUAGAAUUUUAUAUAUUAAUUUUUUAUUUUAUUUGAUUGGGGUGAUUAAAAAAUUUAAUAAACUUUUUUUAUAUAUUUAUAUUGAUUUAUAAUUUUUUGAUCCAAUUUUUUUGAUUAUAAGAAAAAAUUACCUUAGGGAUAACAGCGUUAUUUUAUUGAAGAGUU